AUUGAACGCUGGCGGCAUGCUUUACACAUGCAAGUCGAACGGUAACAGGCCGCAAGGUGCUGACGAGUGGCGAACGGGUGAGUAAUGCAUCGGAACGUGCACAGUCGUGGGGGAUAACUACUCGAAAGAGUAGCUAAUACCGCAUACGAUCUAUGGAUGAAAGCGGGGGACCGUAAGGCCUCGCGCGAUUGGAGCGGCCGAUGUCAGAUUAGGUAGUUGGUGGGGUAAAGGCUCACCAAGCCAACGAUCUGUAGCUGGUCUGAGAGGACGACCAGCCACACUGGGACUGAGACACGGCCCAGACUCCUACGGGAGGCAGCAGUGGGGAAUUUUGGACAAUGGGCGCAAGCCUGAUCCAGCAAUGCCGCGUGCAGGAAGAGGGCCUUCGGGUUGUAAACUGCUUUUGUACGGAACGAAACGGCUCUGGUUAAUACCCGGGGCUAAUGACGGUACCGUAAGAAUAAGCACCGGCUAACUACGUG
rnacentral:rRNA from 1 species